rnacentral:rRNA from 1 species
UAACAAGGAUUCCCCUAGUAACUGCGAGUGAAGCGGGAAGAGCUCAAAUUUAAAAUCUGGCGGUCUGUUAGGCCGUCCGAGUUGUAGUCUGGAGAAGUGUUAUCCGCGUCGGACCGUGUACAAGUCUCCUGGAAUGGAGCGUCAUAGAGGGUGAGAAUCCCGUCCAUGGCACGGACGCCCGAUGCUAUGCGAGGCACUCUCGAAGAGUCGAGUUGUUUGGGAAUGCAGCUCAAAAUGGGUGGUAAAUUCCAUCUAAAGCUAAAUAUGGGCGAGAGACCGAUAGCGAACAAGUACCGUGAGGGAAAGAUGAAAAGCACUUUGGAAAGAGAGUUAAAUAGUAUGUGAAAUUGUUGAAAGGGAAACGCUUGGAGUCAGUCGCGUCCCGUAGAACUCAGCCUGGCUUCGGCCUGGUGUAUUUUCUAUGUGGACGGGUCAGCAUCAGUUUUGGACGGUGGAAAAAGGCAGAGGGAAUGUAGCGCCGCUUCGGCGGCGUGUUAUAGCGCUUUGUCAAAUACACUGGCUGGGACUGAGGACUGCAGCACGCCCUUGUGGCCGGGGGGUUCGCCCUCACGUAUCGUGCUUAGGAUGUUGGCAUAAUGGCUUUAAGCGACCCGUCUUGAAACACGGACCAAGGAGUCUAACAUGCUUGCGAGUGUUCGGGUGGUAAACCCUUGCGCGGAAUGAAAGUGAAAGUUGGGAAGCUUCGAGAGGGGCUGCACCGACGCCCGGCCCUGACGUUCUCUGACGGUGCUGCGGUAGAGCAAGUAUGUUGGGACCCGAAAGAUGGUGAACUAUGCCUGAAUAGGGCGAAGCCAGAGGAAACUCUGGUGGAGGCUCGUAGCGAUUCUGACGUGCAAAUCGAUCGUCGAAUUUGGG